AACGAACGCUGGCGGCGCGCUUAACACAUGCAAGUCGAACGGGGUGUUGGGCUUCGGCCUGGCACCUAGUGGCGGACGGGUGAGUAACGCGUGGGAACCUGCCCUGGGCACCGGGACAACCGCGGGAAACUGCGGCUAAUACCGGAUGAUCCCCUGGAUCGAAGGUGAAGGGGGCAAAGAUCCAUCGCGAGAUGGGGGCGGCCUGGGAUGGGCCCGCGUCCGAUUAGCUGGUUGGUGGGGUAACGGCCUACCAAGGCAUCGAUCGGUAGCUGGUCUGAGAGGAUGAUCAGCCACACUGGGACUGAGACACGGCCCAGACUCCUACGGGAGGCAGCAGUGGGGAAUCUUGGACAAUGGGGGCAACCCUGAUCCAGCGACGCCGCGUGGGUGAUGAAGGCCUUCGGGUUGUAAAGCCCUUUCACCGGGGACGAUGAUGACGGUACCCGGAGAAGAAGCACCGGCUAACUCCGUGCCAGCAGCCGCAGUAACAC
rnacentral:rRNA from 1 species